CUCGGCAACGGAUAUCUCGGCUCUCGCAUCGAUGAAGAACGUAGCGAAAUGCGAUACUUGGUGUGAAUUGCAGAAUCCCGUGAACCAUCGAGUCUUUGAACGCAAGUUGCGCCCGAAGCCUUCGGGCCGAGGGCACGCCUGCCUGGGCGUCACGCAUCGCGUCACCCCCUCCCCCGCUCCG
rnacentral:rRNA from 1 species